GAUUGAGGUUCCCGAAAGGGGUUUUAGUGGACGGUAUCCUUGGGUGAAGGCUCAGACACUGUUGAAGUGGGUUCAGUUUACUGGGCUCAUGGAGUUAAGGUCUACGGUUGGAAGCCCUGAUGUCUGCUAGCGGCAAUGAAAGCGAGGCUGAACCGCCCGUCUUGAAACACGGACCAAGGAGUCUAAUUCUAGUGCAAGUCGAUAGCUUUAAAAGCUGGAGGCGAAAUGAAAGUAAUGUUUCCCAAGGGUUACACCUGCAGGAAAGACCUAACCUUGGACUCGUUCCGAUGGUUUGUGUUAGAGCACUUGGAUUAGGACCCGAAAGAUAGCGAACUUUGCUUGCACAGAUUGAAGGCAGGGGAAACUCUGCUGGAGGAUCGUAGCGUUGUUGACGUGCAAAUCACUCGUCAGAUGUGAGUAAAGCGGCGAAAGACUAAUCGAGCUAUCUAGUAGCUGGUUCCGUCCGAAGUUUCCCUUAGGAUAGCUACGCUUAUAUGAGUUACGAACGGUAAAGCGAAUGAUUAGAGGAAUUGGGGUCUUAAUGACCUUAACCUAUUCUCAAACUUUAAAUAGUCGUGAAUGGCUUGUUUCUUAAUUGAACGUGCCAUCGAAUCAGAAGCGUUAGUGGGCCAUUUCUGGUAAGCAGAGCUGGCGAAGUGGGAUGAACCAAAAGUGAAGAUAAGACGCCAAAAGACUCCUAAUCUAGAAACCAGAAAGGACGUCUGUUCAUAUAGACAGCAGGACGGUGGCCAUGGAAGUCGGAAUCCGCUAAGGAGUGUGUAACAACUCACCUGCCGAAUGAACAGGCUCCCAAAAUGGAUGGCGCUCAAGGGGUCUGUCGAUGCUUCACCUUCAAGGCCUUAAUAAGCUCUGAAGUGUAGGACGGCGCCUUGCUGGCUCUUAAGGCUGAAUGUAAAUUUGGCUGAAGCCGGCUCUGGUGCAGAUCUUGGUGGUAGUAGCAAUUAUUCAAUUGAGAUCGUUGAAGACUGAAGUGGAGAAGGGUUCUACAUCAACAUUGAUUGAAUGUAGGUUAGUCGGUCCUAAGCAUAAGGUUUAAGCUGAUUACAGUCGCUCGCUUCUAGCGGGUGACCUAGCGAAAGGGAAUCUGGUUGAUAAUCCAGAACCACGGGGGGGAGUUUCGAUUGACGGCAACGUUAGCGUCACCGGAGACUGAUACUGGUGUCCCACGGAAGAGUUAUCUUUUCUUCUUAAUGCACAUAACGACCUGGAAUAGACUUGUUCUUAGAUAGGCCAUCAUAGAUGCACCAGAGUGUACCGAUUUUCGGCGCAUGUGGUGUACACCAGAAUCCUCAUAAAAAUCCGGCUGGCAUAGAGAGCUCCUCUUUCGUGUCCGUACCAUAAUCCGCAGCAGGUCUCCAAGGUUAGCAGCCUAUAGUUGAGAGAUGAAUGUAAGUAAGGGAAGUCGGCAAAAUAGAUCCGUAACUUCGGGAAAAGGAUUGGCUCUAAAGGUGGAGGCGUUGAAGCGGGUGGUGAAGGCUAUUUGAAGUAGGUUUUGGCUGGCAACGGCUGGGGCUUAUGGACGGUGGUUGGAGCUGCUUGUACCCCUAUCUCGCAAGGGAUAGGUUCGGCGUCAAUUAACCACUGAAUUAGAACUGUUUCGGACAAGGGGAAUCCGACUGUUUAAUUAAAACCAAGCAUUGCGAAUGGUCUCAAACAGAUGUUAACGCAAUGUGAUUUCUGCCCAGUGCUCUGAAUGUCAAAGUGAAGUAAUUCAACGAAGCGCGGGUAAACGGCGGGAGUAACUAUGACUCUCUUAAGGUAGCCAAAUGCCUCGUCAUCUAAUUAGUGACGCGCAUGAAUGGAUUAAUGAGAUUCCCACUGUCCCUACUUACUAUCUCCGCGAAACCACAGCCAAGGGAACGGGCUUGGACUAAACAGCGGGGGAAAGAAGACCCUGUUGAGCUUGACUCUAGUCCUGUAUCUGUGAAGUGUCAUUGGAGGUGUAGCAUAGAUGGGAGAGCAAUCGAUCUUGAAAUACCAUCACUUUAAUCGAUACUUUACUUAUUCAGUUAUGCAGAACGGAACAAUAGUUCCACUUCUAGUAGAAAAGGUUGGUUACGACUGGCCUGAUCUGUGUUGAAGACAAAUUCAGAUGGGGAGUUUGGCUGGGGCGGCACAUCUGCUACAAGAUAACACAGGUGUCCUAAGGGGAGCUCAGAAAGGACAGAAACCUUUCGUAGAGUAAAAGGGCAAAAGCUCUCUUGAUUCAAAUUUUCAGUAAGAAUGCGAACCGUGAAAGCGUGGCCUAUCGAUCCUUUAGACGUUGAAUGCAUCAUCCUAGAGGUGUCAGAAAAGUUACCACAGGGGUAACUGGCUUGUGGCUGCCAAGCGUUCAUAGCGACGUAGCUUUUUGAUCCUUCGAUGUCGGCUCUUCCUAUCAUUCCGAAGCAGAAUUCGGAAAGUGUUGGAUUGUUCACCCAUUAAUAGGGAACGUGAGCUGGGUUUAGACCGUCGUGAGACAGGUUAGUUUUACCCUACUAUCGGCG
rfam:Corchorus olitorius cultivar O-4 contig11108, whole genome shotgun sequence.